CCUACGGGUUGCAGCAGUGGGGAAUAUUGCACAAUGGGCGCAAGCCUGAUGCAGCCAUGCCGCGUGUAUGAAGAAGGCCUUAGGGUUGUAAAGUACUUUCAGUUGGGAGGAAGGCGUUGAUGCUAAUAUCAUCAACGAUUGACGUUACCAACAGAAGAAGCACCGGCAACUCCGUGCCAGCAGCCGCGGUAAUACGGAGGGUGCAAGCGUUAAUCGGAAUUACUGGGCGUAAAGCGCACGCAGGCGGUUGAUUAAGUUAGAUGUGAAAUCCCCGGGCUUAACCUGGGAAUGGCAUCUAAGACUGGUCAGCUAGAGUCUUGUAGAGGGGGGGUAGAAUUCCAUGUGUAGCGGUGAAAUGCGUAGAGAUGUGGAGGAAUACCGGUGGCGAAGGCGGCCCCCUGGACAAAGACUGACGCUCAGGUGCGAAAGCGUGGGGAGCAAACAGGAUUAGAUACCCGUGUAGUC
rnacentral:rRNA from 1 species